rnacentral:rRNA from 1 species
GCCAGCAGCCAUAUUACCCUGCAACUCACAACUGGCAACCCACUGAAGCAAAGCAGGUGUGAGCCUGGUCAGUACCUUGAUGGGAGACAUCCUGGGAAAAACUAAGGUUGCUGCUGAAA